rnacentral:rRNA from 1 species
GCAGGCUUAAUACAUGCAAGUCGAGGGGCAGCAGGACUGUAGCAAUACAGUUGCUGGCGACCGGCAAACGGGUGCGGAACACGUACGCAACCUUCCUUCAAAUGAGGAAUAGCCUUUCGAAAGAGAGAUUAAUACCUCGUAACAUUUUCUGGUGGCAUCACCGGAUUAUUAUAGCUCCGGCGUUUGAAGAUGGGCGUGCGGCUGAUUAGGUAGUUGGCGGAGUAACAGCCCACCAAGCCAACGAUCAGUAACUGGUGUGAGAGCACGACCAGUCACACGGGCACUGAGACACGGGCCCGACUCCUACGGGAGGCAGCAGUAAGGAAUAUUGGUCAAUGGACGCAAGUCUGAACCAGCCAUGCCGCGUGGAGGAUGAAGGUCCUCUGGAUUGUAAACUUCUUUUAUCGGAGAAGAAACCCUUGCAUUCUUGUGAGGUUGACGGUACCCGAUGAAUAAGCACCGGCUAACUCCGUGCCAGCAGCCGCGGUAAUACGGAGGGUGCAAGCGUUAUCCGGAUUCACUGGGUUUAAAGGGAGCGUAGGUGGGAUGGUAAGUCAGUGGUGAAAUCUCCGGGCUUAACUCGGAAACUGCCGUUGAUACUAUCAUUCUUGAAUAUUGUGGAGGUAAGCGGAAUAUGUCAUGUAGCGGUGAAAUGCUUAGAUAUGACAUAGAACACCGAUAGCGAAGGCAGCUUGCUACACAAUUAUUGACACUGAGGCUCGAAAGCGUGGGGAUCAAACAGGAUUAGAUACCCUGGUAGUCCACGCCCUAAACGAUGGAUACUCGACAUACGCGAUACACAGUGUGUGUCUGAGCGAAAGCAUUAAGUAUCCCACCUGGGAAGUACGACCGCAAGGUUGAAACUCAAAUGAAUUGACGG